rnacentral:lncRNA from 1 species
UUCCAGAGUUCCCAUGGUGGCUCAGCAGGUUAAGAAUCUGACAUGGUACCCAUGAGGAUGCAGGUUCAAUCCCUGGCCUCUCUCAGUGGGUUAAGGGUCUGGCGUUGCCACAGGCUUCGGCGUAGUUUGCAGAUGUCGCUUGGAUCUGGUAUGGCUGUGGCUGCGGCUGUCUCCAGUGGCUGCAGCUCCAUUUCGACCCCUGGCCCAGAAACUUCCACAUGCUGCAGGUAUGGCUGUAAAAAACAAAAAACAAAACAACUUCCCGAGACACUCUUCCCGCAGCCCCCAGCAACCACAUUCUACUCACCACCAUUGUGUUACUCUACACAAUGAAAUAUUAUUCAGCCUUUAAAAAGAAAAGGAAAUCCUGCCAUCUGCCACGAGGUGGAUGAAACGAGGGCAUCAUGCUGAGUGAAAUAAGACAGACACAGAAAGAUACAGAUUGUGUGAUCUCGCUUUAAUUUUUCACUUGCCUUCUCACCUGGUCUCCUUAAUUCCAGAUUUGCCCUUUCUUCUAAUUCAUUAUUUCUCUGUAGCUAGGGCUGCCGAAUUAUAGUUUGAAGGACAAAAACCUGCCUGUUGCUUGUUUUUGCAAGUAAAGUUGGUUGGAACACAGCCAAGCUCAUUGGUGUAUAUUUAUCUGGGGCAGCUUUUCGGCCACAAAGAAAGCAAAGAAUAGCUGAACGCAGAUUCGUAUGGCUCAGAAGUAUAAAAUAGUCAUUAUCUGGCUCUUUAUAGAAAAAGUUGGCUGACCCUUGAUCUAUAGUAACGAGUGAGUUUCCUAAAAUCUCAAUAUGAUCACAUUACUACUUAGUUUAAAAUCUUGCCAUGAUUUUUCUUUGGUCUUAAAGUAAAUUCAAACAAUUUACUAAAAAGAAGCCUAAAUCGUGGAUCCAUCGUGAUCUCAUACAAGUUCCUUCCUUGAAGAUGCUCUGUGCUACUGUUUCUGUGUGUUUCCGGUGGCCUGCCAACCUCCCUCUUGCAUCCAAAAUCUUUGUACAUGUGAUUCUUUCUGGCUUAAAUGCUGUUCAGGCUCCUGUCCCCUUUUCUCUCCUCCCUUCCCCCCACUGUUACACUUCCAGCGAAAUCUUACUCUUCUUUUGGUUCACAAGUUGUCUUUCCCUUGCAAAUAGCUUCCCUGACCCUCUCAGUCUGAUUUGGUUCCCGUGCUACGCUCUCUCAUGGCGCUCUCAGUCUUAUUAUUCUUUUAAACAGCUUUAUAGAGGCAUAAUUUGCCUCUCAUACAAUUUUCCCUUUGGAGGUACAGACUUUGAUCAUUUUAGUACAUUUAUCCUUGUGCACCCAUCACAACCAUCCCAUUUUAGAACAUGUCCAUCACCUACAAAAAUCCCCUCAUGCUUAUUUGCAGUCAAUCCUGCUCUUACCUCCAGCUUUCGGCAUCUCUAAUCUGUGUUCUGUCUAAAUAUAUCCUUUGGGAACAUAUCACAUAAAUGGAAUAAUAUGUAGUCUUUAAUAUCUGGAUUGAUUUACUGAGGAUAAUGUUUUUGAAGUUCAGCCGCCUUGUAGCAGGCUUAUUCUUUUCCACGGCUGCGUAGUAUUCCAUUGCACAGAUGUCCCGCAUUUCCUUUACUCCCCACUCGAUGGACAUUUGCCUUGUUUCCAGUUUGGGGCUCUGAUGAAUAAAAUUGCAUUCACAUGCAUGUCAUGAUCCACCUGUCCCACUCCUGGACGUAUAUCUGGAGAAAACCAUAAGUCAAAAUAUACAUGCACCUCUAUGUUCACUGCAGCCCUAUUUACAAUAGCCGAGACAUGGAAGCAACCUAAAUGAAAGAGGAAUGGAUAAAGAAAAUGAGGUAUAGGAGUUCCUGUUGUGGCUCAGCAGGUUAAGAACCCAAUGUAGUCUCUGCGACGAUGUAGGUUUGAUCCCUAGCCUCACUCAGUUAAUAAUGCAGUGUUGCUAUGGGAGUUCCCGUGGUGGCUCAGCAGUAACAAAGCUGACUAGUAUCCAUGAGGACACAGGGUCCAUCCCUGGCCUCGCUCAGUGAGUUGAGGACCUGGUGUUGCUGUGAGCUAGGUGUAGUUUGCAGACAUGGCUUGGAUCUGGCAUUGCUGUGGCUGUGCUGCAGCUCUGAUUGGACCCUACCCUGGGAAUUUCCAUAUGCCUCGGGGGUGACCCUAAAAAGAGACACACACAAAAAUGAAUGCAGUGUUGCUGCAAGCUGCAACAUAGUUUGCAGAUGUGACUCAGAUCUGGCGUGGCUGUGGCUGUGGCAUAGGCCUGCAGCUGCAGCUCUGGUUCGACCCCUAAUCCGGGACCUUUCCACUGAAAGGAAAGAAAUAAAAGAAGGAUGUAUACACAUAUACAAUGGAAUAUUACUCAGCCAUAAAAAUGAAUAGGAUGUUAUUUGCACCAACAUGGAUGGAUCUAGAAAUGAUCGUACUAGUGAAGUGAGUCAGACAAAGAAAGACGAACAUCAUAGGGUAUCGCUUAUGUGUGGCACCUAAAAAAAUGAUACAAAUAGGCUUAUUUACAAAACAGAAACCGACUCACAGAUCUUGAAAACAAACGUACGGUUGCCAGAAGGAAAUAUCAGAGGGGAGAUAUAGAUGGGGGGUGGGGAUUGGCGUGGGCUCACGUUUGCUUGUGGAAUGAAUGGUCAAGAGGGACCUGCUGCGAAGCCCGGAGAACUCCACCCAAAAUUCUGACUAACCCGUGUGGGGAAAGAGUCUGAGAAAAAUGGCUGUGUGUGCAUGUGUAACCGCACCACGUUGCUGUGAGCAGAAGUUAUCACAACAUUAUGAAUCAACUAUACUUCAAUAAAAGUGUAAAAGAAAAAUAUUUAUCAGAUUCCUAUGGGCACUGGACUAAGGAGUAAAGAAACCAUAGGACUCGGGCCUUCCCCGUUGUGGCUCAGUGGUAACGAAUCUGACUCAUAUCCCUGAGGGUGAGGGCUCGUCCCUGGCCUUGCUCAGUGGGUUAAGGAUCCGGAGCUGCCACGCCGUGACCUGCGGCGUGGGUCGCAGACUUGGCUUGGAUCCCACGAUGCUGUCGCUGUGGUGUAGGCCCGCAGCUGUAGC